CACCAUCAGCACCACCAGCACCACUACACUAAAUGCACCUGCAGAACACCCUCUGAUUCCAGCAUGCCGAACUGAAUGAAGCCCUACCACCCCGAGCUAUAUUCUGUUCCAUUCCACCUUCCUCCCUCUCUCCCUCAUCCUACUGUAUGUCCUGCCUUCUAGCACACCCUACCUUUUUUGGACACUCUACCUUCUUAAACUGGCUUCUUUCCCACCAAAUCCAUGUCCUACCUAAGUCUUGCCUCCACCAGCCACACCUCUAUUCAGGUCUAGCCUUCCAUUUAUUUACCUUCUACCUAAAGCUGACUGGCACUCCUGAUGAUCACGUAUUAGAGCUCAAUGCCCAUCUACACUCUUUAAAUGAGUAUCGUAGGAAAGAAAAGUACCAUUGCUGGUCAGUUCCUCUCCAAACGAUAAGGAAGCUGAGGGUUAAAUCUCACAUUAUCUCCUUUCUCCACAGAAAGAGCCCCUUCUGGGAGUGGGGAAGAAAGUCAGGGUACCCUACUUCAAAUCCCCCACCUCUUCCUAAGAAAGACCCCACUUUGGUAGGGUAGUCUAUGAGUGCUGCCUCAGUUUUCCCACGUGUGUUGGUCCUCACAGGCCUGGACCAGGGUCAGAUGGCUUAUGAGGGCCAACACUGGCAUGCUUCAGAUCGAUGCUUCUGCUGUAGUCGUUGUGGUCGAGCUCUCCUGGGCCGCCCUUUCCUGCCACGUCGAGGCCUAAUCUUCUGCUCACGAGCCUGCAGCCUUGGGUCUGAGACCACCACUGCAGGGCCGGGC
rnacentral:lncRNA from 1 species